AUCCUGGCUUAGAACGAACGCUGGCGGCGUGGAUAGGACAUGCAAGUCGGACGAGACUUUCGUGUAGCAAUACGAUGGAAAGUUAGUGGCGAACGGGUGCUUAACACGUGGGCAACCUGCCAGGAAGUGGGGGAUAGCUCGCCGAAAGGCGAAUUAAUACCGCAUGUGAUUAGAGAGGACAUCCUUUCGAAAUUAAAGUCGGGGCAACCUGACGCUUCUUGUGGGGCCCGCGGCCUAUCAGCUAGUUGGUGAGGUAACGGCUCACCAAGGCUUUGACGGGUAGCUGGUCUGAGAGGACGACCAGCCACACUGGGACUGAGACACGGCCCAGACACCUACGGGUGGCAGCAGUCGAGAAUUUUUGACAAUGGGGGAAACCCUGAUCGAGCGACGCCGCGUGGAGGAUGAAGGUCUUCGGAAUUGUAAACUCCUGUCAUUGGGGAACAAUGCACAGAUAUUAACUAUAUUUGUGUUGAUAGUACCCGAAGAGGAAGAGACGGCUAACUCUGUGCCAGCAGCUGC
rnacentral:rRNA from 1 species